AUUUUCAAACGGGAUGUAGCUUUUCAUACGUCUUCAGAAUUUGUCCUUUGAGGUAUUUUAAACUAAAAUAGAUCUUGUGCUGCCUUUCUUUGUAUUAAUAGUAGCCAGGUUCUUGCAGUUUGAUGCUGAGAGAGCAGGUUCAGAGUUGUAAGGCAGGAAAGAGGUUUCACUCCGCUUUCUGUGCAGUUCAGUGAGAGGGAACUUCAGUUAAAAAAACAAGUGAUCUUUCUGUAGUUAUGCAGCAUAGGGAACUAACUUGUCUUUUAAGCAACCUACUUUUACCCAAGAAGGGAAGAAAACCAUGCUCUUAAGUUAGAUAUGUGUACUAAACUUAAAGAGUAUCUUAUUUCUGUGUUGAAAAACGGGGUCAGACCUCACAUAGUCAUAAUACAGGAUUGAAACCUCUGAAGUGUCUUGGUGUAAAUAGGCCUUUUUUCAUAUAGGAUUGUACUUUCUUGUUUGAAAUUCCAGGAAGCUUCAGGUUUCAUAGUUUUGUGCCGGAAUGCUUUUUGAACAGGAGUUUUCUGGUUUUCAUGUGGCAGCAUUGUUGAAUUCACAGCAUCAGCUAUAGAGACCUGCUCAGUGCAGGCAGGCUUCAGGCGCAAAUGGCUUUUGGUACUUAAGACUGGAAGGGCAAGGAAGGUCUGUGCUGACUGACAUGCUAUUAAUGAUCAACCACUGCACUGGUGCCUACUGUUACUGAAUAUGUCUCAGUAAUCUAUGAACCUAGUUAAUUUUGUAACCUUCCAUGGUUUAGGUAGGUAUUGCCACGUUAUUAUCGGUGCUAAGUGUUCUCUGUUGAGGGCUUCCAGAAAAAGCUUUUGCAAUAGAGAGAACAGCCCCCUAGAAGGUGACAGCAAACUAGCCUGCAUCAGGAUUGGGUGUUGUAAGAGGGUGCAGUAGGUCCGUCCAUGUUUUCUGGCCUCCUGACAAAGUGCGACACUGCUGCGUUAAAAGAGAAGAAAUUGGAAGGGAGCUGUAACAGAGUAGUCAGCUCCUAUGGGGAUGCAGGGCAUUUGUAGGACUGAAGCCCUGUGGCUAGGUGCACUGGUGCACAGGAGCAGCCAUACCUGUGAGUGGGGUUGCCCUAUAGAACAGAGUCCAUCGAUGCUGCUGGUGCUAGCCAGGCUUAUUCCUGUCACAGGCUUCUGUAAGCAGAAGCAUGGAUGUAAAGCAACUGGUAGGUCUGCUUAUGUGAGAGAUGUUGGGAGAAAGAAAAGCAGCUCUGGCAACCUGCAUGUGGCUGAGAAUGCUGAGCUGGUGGUAACUGCCUGUCUUGGCAGAGAAGAAAAAAAAGGUGAAGGCGUAGUCUUCAGAGUGUUUUCUCUGAACUGAAGUAUAUCCUGUUCUUAAUUGCACAGAGCUUUGUUCCCAGGAAAGAACAAAAAACAAAAAACACAGUGCAGGUUGUGAUUCCAGCAGUUCUGACUCGCCCCAGGCCAUGUGCUUCCUGGGCUCUGUGAACCAGCAUGGCCAGAGCUGUGCUGCAGGGCUGAGGUGCGGGAGGCUGUGACUCCCUUGUGCUGGUAGCUCAGCACUGCACCCUAAAUCAUGCCACAGGUCAGGCCAUGAGCUCCCUCCUGUUGAAGAGGAGAAGUGGGUUCGAGCUCAUGUAUUUAGAACUGAGAAGCAGCCUUUUACCCUUGUCCGCAUCAGUUGCUAUCUUUUGGUUGGAUCAAACAGAUAUUCAUGUUACUUCUAUUACCAGCCACGUCCACAGGGGGGAAAAGUUGCUAAAAUUGGGUAUAGUACCAAAACGUGACUGAAUUUUUUCAGUACAUUAUCUGCCAGUUCUUUGAUUUGGGACAGGAAAAGUUUAGUCUAAAACCUAUUUUUAUAGUCAAGUAAAAUAUUUUUAUGUUUGAUACGAGAUGUCAUUUAUUGCUAAGAACAGUUCAAGCAGAAUGCAAAAUAUUUUGUUCAAAGAUAUCCCUCACUUUGCCAUAUAACGGGAAGUAUUUUGUUGUUGUUCUAGUCAAUCUCAGAAACAAAUGCUAAGACUUCUGAUAAGCAAACGUUCAUCCCAACCUGGUUGCUACCAUUCACUCCCUUGCCAUAAUCCUGUCCUCCCACUCUCCCUGCUAAUUUGUUGCUGGGUGCCAUCUGGCAAGUCUCUAGUCCUGUGUCACAGAUCUGUAAUUAACUGUGUACAAUGAAUGAGGCUGAUUUACUGUGUACCUAAAGCCACAGUGAAACUGGAAUAAAUAGAAAGCGAGUACAUUGAAUAGCAGUGAAUUAAAGCAAAGCAGACUACUGAAAGUGUCUUCAGGAAGAAAUAAUGCCACUUGAUUGGUUUUGCUCCUCCACAGGGGAUGAAACUGGGAAUAAAAUACAUACUGCAUUCUGCCUUUCUCAAUUAGCUGUCACCUGUUAAAGAUUUCCUGUGUGGGAACAAACUCGCAGUUGUUGUCACUUAAAGAUAAAUCCUAUCUGCUCACUUCUGCACAUGCAAUACUUUAAUAUUAAACUGGAGCUAUUUUUCCUGUGACUGGCAUUUAAUCAGUUUCUUAACCUUUUUGGAAACAAUACACUAUUUUGUACAUUUUUAAUAAAGGUUAUUUGAAUU
ensembl:lncRNA